rnacentral:rRNA from 1 species
AGAGUACGCUCUAUACCCUUUGUGAACAUACCUAACCGUUGCUUCGGCGGGCAGGGGAAGCCUCUCGCGGGCCUCCCCUCCCGGCGCCGGCCCCCACCACGGGGACGGGGCGCCCGCCGGAGGAAACCAAACUCUAUUUACACGACGUCUCUUCUGAGUGGCACAAGCAAAUAAUUAAAACUUUUAACAACGGAUCUCUUGGUUCUGGCAUCGAUGAAGAACGCAGCGAAAUGCGAUAAGUAAUGUGAAUUGCAGAAUUCAGUGAAUCAUCGAAUCUUUGAACGCACAUUGCGCUCGCCAGCAUUCUGGCGAGCAUGCCUGUUCGAGCGUCAUUUCAACCCUCAAGCACCGCUUGGUUUUGGGGCCCCACGGCACACGUGGGCCCUUAAAGGUAGUGGCGGACCCUCCCGGAGCCUCCUUUGCGUAGUAACUAACGUCUCGCACUGGGAUUCGGAGGGACUCUUGCCGUAAAACCCCCCAAUUUUUUACAGGUUGACCUCGGAUCAGGUAGGAAUACCCGCUGAACUUAAGCAUAUCAAUAAGCCGGAGGAAAAA